UACGGGGGGGGCUAGCGUUGUUCGGAAUUACUGGGCGUAAAGGGCGCGUAGGCGGUCUGCUAAGUUGGAUGUGAAAACUCAGGGCUCAACCCGGAGACGCCAUCCGAUACUGCUGUGACUUGAGUCUGGUAGGGGAACACGGAAUACCUGGUGUAGCGGUGAAAUGCGCAGAUAUCGGGAGGAACACCAGUGGCGAAGGCGGCACUCUGGGCCGGAACUGACGCUGAGGAGCGAAAGCGUGGGGAGCGAACAGG
rnacentral:rRNA from 1 species